UUUGAUAAAAUCCAGCAUCUCUUUGUGAUAAAGACUUUCAAUAAACUAGGUACAGAAGGGGACUUGCUUCAAAAUAAUAAAAGCCACAUAUAACAAACCCACAGUCAACAUCAUACUGAAAGGGAAAAGUUGAAAGUAUUCCCCCUGAGAACUGGAACAAGACAAGGAUGCCCACUUUCACCAUUUCUAUUCAACAUAGUCCAUUAGGAAGUCCUAGCCAGAGCAAUCAGGCAAGAGAAAGAAAUAACAGGCAUCUCAGUUGGAAAGAGGACAUCAAACUAUCUCCAUUCACUGGUGAUGUGGUCAUAUACCUAGAAGACCCUGAAGACUCCUCCAGAAGACUCCUAGAUUUAAUAAACGAAUUUUGAAAAGUCUCAAAUUAUGCCAAUCUUCUGUAGCUUUAACCCCUAAAACCCGAGGUGGUAUUACAUAUGUUGCGUAAGAGCUAAGUCUUUCACCCUGGCAUUUGAGUCAAAACUCUAAGCAUUAUAUCCUUAAACAGAGGCUUCUUCUAUUUUGAGACUUCUACUACCUUUUUACCAGGUAGACAGAAUUCUCCUCACUAGACUAUGGCUUUUGUACACUUCCUUUUCCACUACCUGGAUUAGCCUAGUGCAUCCACAGAAGGUAGCUGAAAGUUCAAAAUCUAUUUUGGGCACAGACAACUAUAUCAGUGAUGCAUAUGGAAUCUCCUUGACAUAAGAUAAAUAAUAGAAUAUAACAUUUAAUGUGUACUCUUUUUUUUGGUUGUUGUUAGAGGCAGGGUCUCCCUCUGUCACUCAGGCUGAAGUGCAGUGGCAUGAUCAAGCUCACUGCAGCCUCCAACUACUGGGCUCAAGCGAUUCUUCCACCUUAGCCUCCCAUGUAGCUAGGACUACAGGUGUGCGGCACCAUGCCAGCUACAUUAAAAAAAUUUUUUUUGUAGAGACAGGGUCUCGCUACCUUGACCAGGCUGGUCUUGAACUCCUAGCCUCAAGUGAGCCUCCCACCUUGGCCUCUCAAAGUGUUGGGAUUACAGGCAUGAGCCAUUGCACCCAGCCUAAUGUGUACUUUUGUGUGGUUCUCAUUUUUUAUUUGUUUUUCAUUCACCUUUUCUCAGGUUGAAAAUGUGUACUUUUGAUUUGUCAGGAAUCAGAUAGGCGCUUUACAUUUAUCAUCUCAUUUAGCCCUAUUAGUAUAUACAGUAGGUUUUACUACCCCAUUUUACACAUGAAGAAACUAAAGCCAAGAAAUGAGAAGUGACUUGCCCUAGGUCACUUAACAAUUUAGUUGCAGAGUCCAGUCUAGAAUAGCUAAAAUGUCCUGAGCAUUUUUAAUUAUUAGGAAUUGUUUUCAAAUAUUUUGUGUGCCUUAACUCAUUAAUCCUCCCAAUAACCUUAUGAGUAGAUAUUAUUAUCAUUUCCAUCUUACAGAAAAAUAAAAUGAAUCUCAGGUUAAGUUACUUUCUCAAGGCUAAGAAAUCUGGCUUUCUAGCCCCCAAUUCCUCUUCUCCUCCUGGUGAAAAUCCUACUUUCCUUUUUCCUUCUUUCUCUGUGGCAGGUCUGUCAUCAAAGAACCAAAACAAGGUGAAGGUUAAUCCUGCCCUGACUUUGGAGUCUCAAUCUGUCUUUGCCAACUCAGGCUCUGAAGUAGAAGACUAAGAUUUGAACCCUGACAGCCUGACUCAAUUGUCUGUGUUCUUAACCACUAUGGGAGCUUUCUAUAUUUUUUAACUUUAAGUCUACUGCACAUUUUAUAAUGCCAGGUUGCCUCACUUCACCAAGAUGUCUGGCCCUUUUAGUUCAGUUAUUUCACCAUGCGCAGGCCAGCUUUUAGGACAGGUCCUUUGAAACCAGUCUUUGAAUAGGCUAUAGAUUCAACCCUCAGUUCCUAAUGGAGAAUGAAUUUUCCACAGUCACCAGUGGCUAGAAGUAGGUGUUUGUCCCCUUGAGUUCCAUAGCUAGGACUUCUUCAACUAGACUAUUUCCUAGACUCUCCUUGUCUCACCUAAUUUCCAACCUUCUGUCAUUCUAACCUCUCACCCAUAAUUCACAUUUUGUCAUUCUUGUUUCAGCCAAACAGGAAUAACCUUUGAAUUAACAAGUAAUGGGGAAAACACUUAGUCACCCUGUCUUCUCUUACAGUAUUUACAUGCCCCAGGGAAUCUUGAAUUAAUCUUUAUUAUCCAGUCUGAAAACUUUCUGCCUGCCUUUAUGAUCUCAAACAAGACUGGUUACUUUCUUUCCUUACAGCCUGCCUUUUUUCUCUCUCAAACAUUUAGUUUAUUCUCUUAGAUGGUUGU
rnacentral:lncRNA from 1 species